UGGGUUCCGGCGGACGGAGGUGGUUUUGACCGUUGGACCUUGGGAGUGGUGUAGGGCUCAGGCGACGUCCAGGCUCCAGAGGCGAGAGAGGGUUAGCUCAGCGCCGGACUCCGUGGGCACCUCUGCGGCUGGGUCCUCCUCCUCGGUGAGGUUUUUAUUUAGCAGUUAGAAAUGGAGUCGGCAUAUCUUCAAAAGAAUCUUGGGACCUGUCUAACUCAAGGUCUUGCAGAAGUGGCAAGGAUGCGCCCAGUGGAUCCAAUAGAAUACUUAGCAUUGUGGAUUUACAAGUAUAAGAACAAUGUGACCGUGGAGCAACAAAGACAAGAGGAAAUGGCCCAGUUGGAGCAUGAAAGAGAAUUAGCUGUGAUGGAGCAGGAAAUGAUGGAGAGGCUUAAAGCAGAGGAGCUCCUGUUUCAGCAGCAACAGCUGGCAUUCCAGCUGGAGUUGGAAAUGCAAGAAAAAGAGAGACAGAGAAUAGAAGAACUGCAGAGAGCUCAAGAACAAUUUGAGAAGUGGUUAAGAAUCCGCCUGCCAAUGCAGGGGACAUGGGUUCGAUCCCUGGUCCAGGAAGAUCCCACAUGCGGUGGAGCAACUAAGCCCGUGCGCCGCAACUACUGAGCCUGCGCUCUAGAGCCCAUGAGCCACACUGCUGAGCCCACACGCCGCAGCUGCUGAAGCCCACGCGCCUAGAGCCUGUGCUCCACAAGAGAAGCCACCACAAUGAGAAGCCCGCGCACCGCAACGAAGAGUAACCCCUGCUUGCCGCAACUAAGGAAAGCCCGUGUGCAGCAACGAAGACCCAACGCAGCCAAAAAUAUAUAUAUGAGUUGAGAAUGAGUAUGGAAAAUAUAGCUAAG